CAACAUACAACGCACUGAGCCGUGGGUCAGAGCCGCUAGUAUCUGAUCCGUGGCUCAGAAAGUUUUCUUUCCGUCACAGGAUGCCAGGCGCGUCAUCAAUGCAACCCCUGGCUCCUCUGCCGUAGCGCCAUAGCCAUUUUCGCGAACAGGAGAGAGGGACCGAGAAGAAGAACAGGCGACCCGUCGCGCCAUGGCGUUCCUAAUGCAGCCAAUCCGCAGAUCUACGAAUUUUGAGGAGGUAGGAGAGAGCAUGGUGUCGGAAGGUUCGCCGGCAGUUGGGACAAGGCGAACGGCGGUGGAGGUGGCGCUGCACGACGGAAUAGUUUUGAGCGGGGACAAGCGGCUCUGCCCGCCGUCAGGAGCGGUAAUGUUGAGUGGCCAAGGACAAAUCUGCAGCGGUACGCCGGCGGCGACUAUGAGCGGCGAAGAAUGAAUAUGCAGUGCGGUGCAAGCAGCAGCGGUGAGAAAGGAGAGCUCGCCUCCCACAUCUGAGCUGUCCACGGGCUCCUGGUUAAGAGGUUGCGGAUUGGUGUUGCUGGCCCCAGCAAGGCGCCUUGCGCUACCCGUAUUGUUCGCCGAAAAGCCGACGGAUAAUUUAAUCACUGCAGUGCUGGGUACUACCUUUGACUCGCUUGGAUAAGCAUACGAUUUCUACAGCUUGUAUUCCUGGGAGAAAGGAUUUGGUAUAAGAUAUGGUAAAAGCCGGCUAAAUGUGGAGAGGAUGAAGUUCAUGCAGGAAAUUGUUUGCGGAUGUUUGGAAAAGCUAGUGUGGAGAACACAAGGUCCUGUCAGUGUGAAUGCCGAGCGUUAAUAAGGCUGUUAUGGACAGAGGACAAUGGUUGGUAUAUCGCAGAGCAUCGAGAGAGCCAUAACCACUCGCUUUCGCCAAAUUUCGGUGAGACAAUUCACUGGUCAUCCCACAAGCACUUUGAUGUGUACAGCAGGGAUUUGAGAAAGCAUUUGCGGCAGAAUAAUGUCAACCUAGCUAAGGUGUAUAGCAUAGUAGGCAUAUUUUUUGGAUCGAUGAAAAAUGUGCCAUUUACGAAGAGGUCUUUGUGUAAUCUUUGCGGCCAGAUUAGCAGGGAACAAUCAGAUGAUAAUGUAAGGAAAACAAUGGAGGUUUUUGCAGAAAUUGGGGCAAAGGACCCUCAUUUCAAAUACAGAGUUCAGCCUGACAAAGAGGGUGGGAUCAAGAACCUUAUGUGGGCAAGCGGGAGCAAUAGGUUGCAGUACACAUUUUCCGGUAGUGCAUUAACAUUUGACACAACCUACAUGACAAAUUUGUAUGGCAUGCCUUUCAGACUAUUUGUUGGUGUGAACAACCAUUUUCAGAGAGUGAUCCCGGCUGGAUUGAUUGUGCGUGGCGAAACUGUCGAGAGUUUCAAAUGGGUUUUCUCUGAAUUUCUCAGAAUCAUGGGUGGCGCUGCACCAAAAAACUAUACUUACUGGCAAGAUCUUCAUUUCAUUGCUGUUAUUUAUAUGACCAGAAUCGGGCUAUGGAAGUGGCGUUCAAGAACAUAAUGCCAGAUACUAUGCACUGCUGGUGUAAGUGGCACGUGCUAAAGAAAGUCAAAGAAUCGUUGGGCCUCUGCACACCAAGAAGAGUGAAUUCCGAGCAGAGUUCCGCAAAAGUGGUGAAUCACAUGCUGACGGUGGGUGAAUUUGAGAAAGACUGGGAAUUGUUGCUUGCUAAAUACAUGAUGAGGUCGCAUCCAUAUAUGACGAACCUAUUUGAGAUCAGGGAGAAAUGGGCGAAGCCGUAUUUGAAAGGAGUGUUUUGUGCCAAGAUAGCGAGCACGCAAAGCAGUGAGUGCGAACCAUAUGUUAAAGAAUUAUGUCCCUCCAGGAUGUCCAAUGCUUAUGUUUCUUUAGAAGUAUAUGAGGCUACUCUUUGACAGUGAAGCGGAAGAGAACUAUGAAGAGAAGCGAACAAGAAUUGGGAGGCAUUUGUUAAGAGCAAACUUGGCAGUUGAAAGACAUGCUGGAAAGAUAUAUACAAGGGCCAUGUUUGAGGAAUUUGGGCAUAUAUUGUAUGAGUGUCGAGUUAACCAAGUGGAAGAAAUUGAGAAACAUAAGCUGUAUGUUGCAAUUCACAUUGAGGCUGACAAAAGAGAGAAGUGGUGCAGGGUGUCAUAUGAGGUAAAAGUUGCUAGACGGAGGUCACGAGUUUGAAUGUGAAUGCGGGCAGUUUGAACACAUGGGGCUGCUGUGCAGCCAUGUGUUGAAGGUCCUAGACUUCAUCCGAGCUAAAGAAAUCCCAGUUAAGCAUUCAGUAAAAAGGUGGAGAAAGGAUGCUUGAGAUAUACUGCCUACGGACCUUGUGCAAUAUCAGAAAGAAGACAUGCAUAAAAAUCCAUUCUCAUACAGACACUUCACCAUAUAUAUACAUGCGAUGGAGCUAGCCCGCUUGGGCGAUACAAGUGUGGAGGCAUACAACCGUUUUAUGGGGCUAUUCAAAGCAAACCUGGCAGAGAUGUUGCCAGAUGCCGAAGGGAGAGAUGGCCUUGGUCUCGAGGAUAGGCUUGCUGAUAAGGGAGGUGCUGUGAAUCAGGUGGCAUCGUCCAUGGCGGCCGAAGUAGUGAACAAUAGUGGUCAGUAUGCCGGAAGCAAGGCCGGAUAAGAACAACUUGCCCAGACCGAGGAGAUGUACCAAAGCAGCCGAGGAAGCCGGCUAGGUAUAAGAAUUGCGGAGUGGAGGGUCGCCAGAGGAAUAAUUGUAAAAGGCAAUUGAUCUUAGGUUAGCAGGUGGAAUGUAGUUGCUGGCUGAUCAAACUAAUGAAUUAUCUGUUGACAUGUUCUCCAUAAUGGUUCAGUGUUUCGAUGUUCAUGUGUUGGGGUGUAAGCUCGAUACUUUGGUAAUGCUGGUGGAACUGAAACAAGUGCUGUAUGAUGGGUGAAACAUGCAAAAUCUGUGUACAUUAGCUGGAAGGCAGUCUGUAAUUUCCCUUGUUAUUCUCUUGGUUCA